GAGGGUAACAGCUCAGUGGUAGAGCACCUGCUUAGCAUACACGAGGUCCUGGGUUCAAUCCCCAGUACCUCCA
rfam:Camelus ferus unplaced genomic scaffold scaffold1891, whole genome shotgun sequence.